AUUGAACGCUGGCGGCAUGCCUAACACAUGCAAGUCGAACGGUAACAGGAGGAGCCUUCCUCCUUGACGUUCGAGUGGGACAGGGGUGUAAAAUGUCGAGAAACCUCCCUUAAGACUGGGAUAAACUCCUGAAACCGGAACCAAAUCCGGCUUAACUUCUCAACCCCAAAGAUGAGUACCUUAAGACCUCUUUCCUUCGACUUUUCCCUGGUGGCAUUAGCUAGUUGGUAGGGUAACGGCUAACCAAGGCGACGAUCCAUAGCUGGUCUGAGAGGAUGACCAGCCACACUGGAACUGAGACACGGUCCAGACUCCUACGGGAGGCAGCAGUGGGGAAUAUUGCACAAUGGGCGCAAGCCUGAUGCAGCAACGCCGCGUGUAUGAAGAAGGCCUUCGGGUUGUAAAGCACUUUCAGUGGGGAGGAAGGGAGUAAAGUUAAUAUAUUCACUCAUUGACGUUACCUGAAGAAGAAGCAACGGCUAACUACGUG
rnacentral:rRNA from 1 species